AUGGAUGUCACUUACGUUGUGUAUGAACAAAAUAAGCUUCUAGUUCAGGCAGCAGUAUUGAUAGUUGUGGUUCAGGCCUAGAUCCUGUUGGUCCAUAAGAGAGUUGUUUGUUGGAAUGACAAACCUCUCAUCCGGUAUGGUUCGAUGUUAAUACGAGAUCAGGGGAGGAUAGCGAGUCUGAACUACAUAUGCAACUGCAAUGACAUAGAGGCUUUGUGGAUGCUUCGAAUGAAAAUAGCACCUUUCGCCAGGCUUGUGCAGAUGUUCAGGGCAGGGGGGCUGCUAGAAGAUAGCAUCCACACUAUUGUGGAAGAGCAAGUAGCAAUGUUCCUCCAUGUUGUUGUUCAUAACCAGAGGUUCAAGAUUGUACACAACACCUUCAGGAGAUCAAUGGAGACCAUCUUCGGGCACUUCAAGCAAGUGAUGUAUGCUAUUGGGGAACUCAGAGGAGAGAUGUUUGUGUCACCAACCGGUCGGACCGCUACCAACAUUCGCACUAGCCCAAGAUGGUAUCCAUACUUCAAGGUGAACACUGACAGUGUGUAG
rnacentral:rRNA from 1 species